AGCGGCUCUGGGAGCCGGCGCAAGGAAGUCCGGAGCCGGCGACAGACACAUGGUGGCUGCCACAGCGCCCCUUACAGAACUGGAGGAGCGGCGUCUGUCCUGCUGCCUCUUGCGCCAGACCGCAGGGUCCUUCCAUCAGGAUUGAGCGGCUCUGUGAUGGUCCUAGAGAUGCAAGAAUGGAGCCGACAAGGUCCUAGUGAAGGAGCAACCAAAGACUUUAUAUGAUAAACAUUUGUGUCGGGUUAGUGGAGUGAGUGCAAAGGAAGAAGGAUCACUAAUCCAACACGCUGUGAAUUCUGAAAUGUGGCCUCAAGGAUUUGGGAUGAAGGCAGCUCUCUUUUACCGGUGAUGCAGAAACCAAGUCUGAAAAGUGAUACUAAACAGAUUAGCACCGUACUUCACUCCUAAUUGUCCAGCAAUUGGUGAGCCAGCAGAUGUUAAUCACAACAGAGAGGGGUAUGAUUAAUUUUGAUUUUUAGAAAAUGUAACUAAUGUCAGGAUAAAAGCUGGAUUGGUAGAACAGAGCCUGGGUGCAGGGUCAAAAACUAAAACAUAUUUUCCUCUA